rnacentral:rRNA from 1 species
UACGUAGGGGGCAAGCGUUGUCCGGAAUCAUUGGGCGUAAAGAGCGUGUAGGCGGCCAUUUAAGUCUGCUGUGAAAGUCCAGGGCUCAACCCUGGGAUGCCGGUGGAUACUGGAUGGCUCGAGUCCGGAAGAGGAGUGUGGAAUUCCUGGUGUAGCGGUGAAAUGCGCAGAUAUCAGGAGGAACACCAAUGGCGAAGGCAGCACUCUGGGACGUGACUGACGCUGAGACGCGAAAGCGUGGGGAGCAAACAGG